rnacentral:rRNA from 1 species
UUAUGGCUCAGGAUGAACGCUAGCUACAGGCUUAACACAUGCAAGUCGAGGGGCAGCAUGGUCUUAGCUUGCUAAGAUUGAUGGCGACCGGCGCACGGGUGAGUAACGCGUAUCCAACCUUCCCUAUAGUAGGGGAUAGCCCGUAGAAAUGCGGAUUAAUACCCUAUGUUGUAUUUCGAGGACAUCUGACGAAUACCAAAGGUUCACCGCUAUAGGAUGGGGAUGCGUCUGAUUAGGUAGUCGGCGGGGUAACGGCCCACCGAGCCAACGAUCAGUAGGGGUUCUGAGAGGAAGGUCCCCCCACAUUGGAACUGAGACACGGUCCAAACUCCUACGGGAGGCAGCAGUGAGGAAUAUUGGUCAAUGGGCGAGAGCCUGAACCAGCCAAGUAGCGUGCAGGAUGACGGCCCUAUGGGUUGUAAACUGUCUUUUAUGCGGGAUAAAGUGAGGGACGUGUCCCUUAUUGUAGGUACCGCAUGAAUAAGGACCGGCUAAUUCCGUGCCAGCAGCCGC